GCUGGGCACGGUGGUUCAUGCCUGUAAUCCCAGCACCUUGGGAAGCCGAGGUGGGGGGAUCACCUGAGGUCAGGAGUUCGAGACCAGCCUGGCCAACAUGGUGAAACCCCAUCUCUA
ensembl:misc_RNA Metazoa_SRP Metazoan signal recognition particle RNA